GCCCGGGUGGUGAAAUUGGUAGACGCAGGGGACUCAAAAUCCCCCUCCGAGAGGAGUGCCGGUUCGAUUCCGGCCCCGGGCACCA
rnacentral:tRNA from 1 species